rnacentral:rRNA from 1 species
CCUACGGGAGGCAGCAGUGGGGAAUUUUGGACAAUGGGCGCAAGCCUGAUCCAGCCAUGCCGCGUGUGGGAAGAAGGCCUUCGGGUUGUAAACCACUUUUGUCAGGGAAGAAACGGUCUGAACUAAUACUUUGGACUAAUGACGGUACCUGAAGAAUAAGCACCGGCUAACUACGUGCCAGCAGCCGCGGUAAUACGUAGGGUGCAAGCGUUAAUCGGAAUUACUGGGCGUAAAGCGUGCGCAGGCGGCUUUGCAAGACAGAUGUGAAAUCCCCGGGCUCAACCUGGGAACUGCAUUUGUGACUGCAUGGCUAGAGUACGGUAGAGGGGGAUGGAAUUCCGCGUGUAGCAGUGAAAUGCGUAGAUAUGCGGAGGAACACCGAUGGCGAAGGCAAUCCCCUGGACCUGUACUGACGCUCAUGCACGAAAGCGUGGGGAGCAAACAGGAUUAGAUACCUUGGUAGUCCACGCCCUAAACGAUGUCAACUGGUUGUUGGGAGGGUUUCUUCUCAGUAACGAAGCUAACGCGUGAAGUUGACCGCCUGGGGAGUACGGCCGCAAGGUUGAAACUCAAAUUGAAUUGACGGCUGGNGNGNGCGACGACGACGACGAGGAGGAGG